rnacentral:rRNA from 1 species
UACGUAGGGUGCAAGCGUUGUCCGGAAUUAUUGGGCGUAAAGGGCUCGUAGGCGGUCUGUUGCGUCGGGAGUGAAAACUCAGGGCUUAACCCUGAGCCUGCUUCCGAUACGGGCAGACUAGAGGUAUGCAGGGGAGAACGGAAUUCCUGGUGUAGCGGUGAAAUGCGCAGAUAUCAGGAGGAACACCGGUGGCGAAGGCGGUUCUCUGGGCAUGACCUGACGCUGAGGAGCGAAAGUGUGGGGAGCGAACAGG